CCCUUUGUUGAAGAAGUUCAAACAAAAAUCCCCAACUGAUACUAUUGAAAGUUUUUUCAAAAUCAAUUUUACAAUGAAUGCCAAGGCUAGUGGUGUGUUGAUAGUAGAAGACAACCUCGGAGGUAGCUACGAAGCUCUCAAAAAUUACAUAGUCGGAGCUGAAUGGAUAACGCCUUUGAUAAAGAUUUAUGUUAUUGAUCUCCUCCAAU
rnacentral:lncRNA from 1 species